AAAUCAACUUCUGAUUAUUUAAAACAGAAAAAAGAAAAGAAAAGAAAAGAACAUAUUGCUUUUUCAUAUCAUCCUUAUUCUUUCACAGAUUGGUUAAAUUAGAUUGAUCCAAGUCCUUCCUUUGUCCACCCAUUAAUUUCUUCUUCUUCUUCUUCUUCUUCUUUUUUUUACUGUAACACUUAUGUGUGGUAGAAUUGAUGAAACUUAUAAAUUCUCAGUUCUUAAUAAGGAGGCCUCUUGAAGACAUGAGACAUGACAUUCCGUUUGUCCUAUAGAAAACAUUUCUGUACUUAAUUUGUUUUCUCUGCAGAUAACAUCAAGUGGAUCUUAUUAUGUAAUAUUAUCAACAUAAUGAACUAGUUGUGGCUGAGGUGCAGAAAAUCAAUUAAUCAAGCAGAUUAAAAAUUCAAGACUUGGCUACAAAGAUGGUAGUUUUCAUUUCUUUCCAUGAAGUUUGUGCUUAUCAUUAUAUUCAUGCACUAAAUAAUGCAGGAAAGAAAAUGAUAGCAGUGUAGAGAGUUGUACCUUCUUUAAAGAUCCUUCAAUCUUAUGUAUACAAAUCAAGAAAAGAAACCAAUGUCCUGCUAUCACAACUUCCAUGCAUGAGAGUUUGGAAACAGAAAGUUUCUUGAAACAAGCUUAUUAGUUCUUAUUUGUUGGAGUACUAGAAGGCCAUUAUUCCAAGAAUGUCAUGCAUACAUUCUGCAUUACUUUCUUUCUUUCCUUUUUUUUUUUCUCUUUAUAAUUUUCUUUUUCAGAUUUUAUAGUCUUUCAUGCAACCACUAUAAUUGAGUGGAAUUCUGCAAAAUAUAUGUUCAGGUCAGAUGACAAAGUACUGUUGCAGAAUUCUCAGUCCUCUGUAACCUGUAACUUGUAACAGAUGUUCAUGUGGUGAGUCAAUAGAGCAAACUUUGCAACAGAUGUUGUCAUAACUAAUUAAAUAUAAUAUAAUAGAGGAUGAAAUGCAUUAGGUGGCUCAAAUGAUGGCAUACUUGCAAAUAAACAAAUAAUCAAUUAAUUAUUACAACAUUUUCUAUACUUAUUUCUAAAUCCAAUUAGUCCCAUCAAACUUAUGAUGCCUAACAAGCAAAAGAGGAUCCUGAAAGCAGAAAAUGGUGCAAUGGAUGAGACAACAACAUAUACACAAAAUAACUAUUGAUUACAUCUUGGAUAGAACAUUAUUAGGAUAGGAGAUGUAGUAGUAGUACUACUGGAUGAGAUAGCAAAGCCAGACAAGUUAACAAACAUUUAUGAGAUCCAGCUAAGGUACUCUGUAUUAUUAUCACAUUCCUGUGGACACUAGUCAUGGUGGAGCUCCACCACCAUGAAAUUCAGCAUCAAAAAAAGGUUUUUAAAAAGAUGGGUUAGCAACACCUCUCUUUGCAAUACGUCCAAAAGGGUUCUUGGCCCAGAAAUCUAUAUAUUGUGAAGAAGAAGAAAAAAUAUGAAUCUUUAAUAGAAAAAUGUAGAGUUAAAAUAGACCUUUUGGGUCCCCUUUGUUUGGAAUUGUUGACAGAGAUAAAGUUAAUCUUGAAAUGAACUUCCAAAGAAAAUUCAUAGAUCUAGCUAGUAAACCUAAUAUCAAUUGAACACAAAAAGUGAAACGGAAUCAUUGCUUAGGGCUUUAAUAAAAAUUUUGAUAUAGAAAAUAGCAUAAAAGUCAAAGAACCUUUACUAAUAGCAUUCUGUUUCUACAUUUCAAGCAAGGUCCAUUAUUGAAAAGUGUGGCAUUUUAGAUCUUUGAAUAGAGGUAUAGAAUUGAGAAGUGGUAACAAUUUUCUAUAAAGGAAUUGUACCUACUGAACGAAGGGUAUGUAGCAGUCACUUUUUCCUUUUAGUCUGGUUGAAUUACUUAAUUGUUAAAUUAUAAUUAUUAAGCAAUAAUGUAUCCACCAAUAUGUCUUACAUAGAAAUGGGUAGGUCCUUUUUGCACUGAUAUUCAAUUCCAUUGAGUAAAAUAAUGCUUGGAUGCUAAAGUAUUACUUACCUGAAAAUAGCCAAUAAGUGUAAAAGUGAAGUUGAGGAAACCCUUGUUUCAACAAGGAAAUGAACUACUAGGAACAGGAGUCAUGAUUUGGUGCUGAUAUAUUUGUCAAAGCAUCUCUAUAUACAAAGACAUGAUGAAGGAAUGACUUGCCUAAAUCUCAAACAAAAAGCCCUACAUAAGUAUGUACAUAAAAAAAUAUCAGAAAACCAAACAGAACCAGCACAUUAAGUUGUACAUAAUGUAGUGUCCUUUACCAAAAUGGAAAUAUGUAUAUAUACACACACACUGUGUCAAGCUUUUAUAAUUUUGGCACUAAACUGAAUAGUAACAAAGACUCAACCAGGCUUGCCAGCUUUUUUUUCUUUUUUGGUGAGCUGCUUGAUUUAUUUGUCCUCAAAUUCUAUUCUGACUGAUUCAACAUUAUUUAAGAUUGAAAUGUACCAGAAUUCAAUUCUUAUCAAUCUUCCAAUCCGAAAAAAUUAUAACAAGGUUAUGAUGAAAACAACUAAAUCCUGAAUUAAGCAAUGAAUGUUUAGGACAAUAACAAUAUAAAACCUUGCAUCUUCCUUCUUAUGUUUCGUAUAUAAGGAACUUCAAAAGGGAUCAAACACGUUCAGACAAGCAUCAGAGCCAGAAAUUCAUCAAGAUACAGUUAUGGAUUAACUUGCCUGGCAAAGGGAGACAGAAGUAGUAAUUUAUCAAACAAUAAUAUUGGUCAGAAUUGAGCAAUUUAUCACAUGUAAUCGUAAUGUAAAGGCUUUGAGAUGAUUUGGUGUAGUGUAACUAAAAGUCUUCUUUUCCGAGCUUAAAUUGGAGACUAU
rnacentral:lncRNA from 1 species